CUCGGCAACCAUCAGUUUGUUCUGUUUAAAAACAGUCUGUUUUUGUUUUAUUUUGUUUGUUUAUUUGUUUUAUCUUGUUUUAGAUUUCACAUAUAAGUGAUAUCAUACAAUUUGUCUUUCUCGAUCUGACUUAUUUUACUUAGCAUAAUACCCUCUAGGUCCAUCCAUGUUGUAGCAAAGGGUAAUCUUUUAUUCUUUUUUAUUGCUGAGUAAUAUUCCAUAUAUAAUUGUGAUUUAUAUGUCACAAUUUCUUUAUCUGUUCAUAAUUAACCUAUAUUUUCUCUGGCUGUGGAACUAUGGAUUUUUUUUUUCUAUUCAACUUUGUAUCUUUGUUUGUUUCCCAAAGAGUAUGGUCAUUAUGUACUACUUUUGCAAUCAUAAAAAUACACUAAAUACUAUACACACAUGCACACAUACACACGCACACACACAUUAGUGAAAAAGAGACGGGAAUAUCUUCCCAUACCACUUAGCUCUUUAAAGACGGCCUUUGCUUCCCCUCACAGCUUUACACAACUCUUGACAUGGGUCCGUUUUUGUUCACAAGUGGGCAGAUCAUCAUGGAUGUCAAACAGCUUAUUAUUGUCUACCCCUUAAAUCAAGGUUGGUUUACCCAUAGUUGGCAAACUGCGGCUCGCGAGCCACAUGAGGCUCUUUGGCCCCUUAAGUGUGGCUCUUCCUAAGCCUUAGGAGUACCCUAAUUAAGUUAAUAACAAUGUACCUACCUAUAUAGUUUAAGUUUAAAAAUUUUGGCUCUCAAAAGAAAUUUCAAUCGUUGUACUGUUGAUAUUUGGCUCUGUUGACUAAUGAGUUUGCCGACCACUGGUUUAGACAGUUAAUUCAGAGAGGGAAGAUGUGCCUCUUCCCAGGUGGCUGAAGUACAAUUAAUGGAGGAAAAGCUUUCACAAGGGUAGCCUUCUUUCCUGGGUAACCUUCUCAGUAGUUUGGGGGAGGGCAUGGAGCCAGCCCACAAAGGGGUUCAGGGGCAAGGCAGUGGGAGCUGAAGAAAGAGGAGGUUAGUGCCACUGCAGACCUGCUCUAGUUCACAACAGAGUAAUAGAAAAACAAGAAGAUAAGAAGAAAAAGCAGUGGAUCUCUAUGACCUUGGCACAUUGGGACAUGAGUGGAAAGUCAGAGAGAGCUUUUGCUAUCUCCAUGCAACUUCAUGAGGUGAGAUAAAGAAGAACUACUGAGAAAAGAAAAAACACCAGUGAACUGAACAGCUAUUGGAAUUUCUAGAGGGCUGGAAGGUGAUUUCGUUGCAACCAAUCAGAUUGGAGGUGUUUCCUGUUGGUGCAGAAAGAUGGAUCACAACGGGGUCUGAGCUAAGCAAUCAGUGCAGGGGAACAAGAAUGGGGUAGUAAGCUAUAAAAGAACUUAGUCAUUUCAUGAAUUCUGGAAACUCAAAAGGUAAGAGGAGUUAAAUGAGUUGAUUAAAUGAAAAUGAGGAAUAGUGUGUGUAAAUAGCCCACUGGGAAACACCAAGAACAAUAAAUGAAAAUAUUUAGAGAUUGGGGAAAGAAGGAAGCUCCACACAGGACAAGUUGGAGGUGAAGGGUGCAGAGCUAAGGAUGAGGCAUGGCUGAGAAUUUCUGUAGGAAGAGUCCAAUAGUCAUGGGUUGAGAUAAAUACACUAGGAAAGAGGUCUGAACCAAGAAAGAUGCUCCUGAGGCUUUAUCAUUAAAGAACCCUGAUCCCCAGAGAUAUAGGCAGCUAAGAGAAACCUCAGCUUCAUCUAGAAGGAGAAGGAAAGAGAAAAUGGAGCAUAAAUUAUCAGGUAAAGACAUGAAGGCAGGAAAGGAGUGUUCAGUAUUUAUUUAUUAAAUUAAAUUUAUUAGAGUGACAUCCUAUAUAAUAAAAGGGUGAUAUGUAAAUUGACCCUAAUGGGGGAAUGACUGGGAACGACCGGUUGCUAUGACAUGCACUGACCACCAGGAGGCAGACGCCUAAUGCAGGAGCUGCCCCCUGGUGGUCAGUAUGCUCCCACAGGGGGAGCUCCACUCAGCCACAAGCUGGGCUGACAGCUGCAAGCGCAGUGGUGGUGGUGGGAGCCUCUCCCACCUCCUCAGCAGUGCUAAGGAAGUCUGACUGUGGUUCCUGGGCUGCCAGAGGGAUGUCUGACUGCCAGCUUAGGCCCAAUCUCCUGGGGAGUGGGCCUAAGCUGGCAGGUGAACAUCCCCAGAGGGGUCCCAGACUGCAAGAGGGCACAGGCUGGACUAAGAGACCCCCCCAAGUGCACAAAUUUUCAUGCACCAGGCCUCUAGUCUAUAUAUAUAAAAGCCUAAGUGACCGUUUGACUGGUAGCUAUGACACGCACUGACCACAAGGGGGAAGACACUCAGUGCACAGGCAUGGAAACAUGGAACAGAUUGAUGAAUUUCAGAGGGAAGGGGAGAGAGGGGAAGGUGGGAAGAGAUUAAGAGGGCAAAGAUCUUAUAUGCAUACUAGAGGCCUGGUGCAUGGAUUUGUGCACCAGGGGGUUCCUCAGCCUGGCCUGCAGGGAUUGGGCUGAAACUGGCAGUCCGACAUCCCCCAAGGGCUCUCGGAUUGCAAGAGGGCAUAGGCCUGUCUGAGGGACCCCACUAGUGCACUGGGCCUCUAGUUAGUUAAUAAGAUUAUAUAUGUUUCAAGUGUACAAUUCUAUGGUAUAUCAUCUGUAUAUUGCAUUGUGUGCCCACCACCCAAAGUCAGAUUUUCUCUCAUCACCAUGUAUUUGACACCCUUUA